rnacentral:lncRNA from 1 species
CAAGUCAGUCUAGUUCAGACCCAGACAGGUGGAAGAAGUCAACUCCUAACUAGGGUAUAAUGAAGCAUGAUGGAAGUAUUUGACCCAGCGGCUCUUCUAUACCCAGGAGGCCCUGACUGCCACAUUCACCAGUUGAUUUUCCAGGGAACACAAUCAGAGGCAGAAUCGUCUGGUGGUUAAAAGUACAAUCUGGAGUUAGAUUGCUUGAUUUUCAAUCCCAGCUCUUCCACUCAUCGGCUUUGUUAUCUUAGGGCCAGGUAACUAGAUUGAAGCAGAGUCCAUGAAGAACUAACCAUGCCUCACCCCACCCCUGCAGAUGCCUCCUUCAUGAAGAUCUCCCCAUUUGGAACACAACAUCUGUUUCCUGCCGGGACCCUGACUGACACAAGGGUCAAAAUAAGCUCCUUCAUGGGAAGCAUUGAGAGAGGCAGAAAAUAAAGAGAAGGAAGACAAUACUAUCCA